GCCUACGGGAGGCAGCAGUGAGGAAUAUUGGUCAAUGGGCGCGAGCCUGAACCAGCCAAGUCGCGUGAGGGAAGACGGUCCUAUGGAUUGUAAACCUCUUUUGUCGGGGAGCAAAAGACGCCACGCGUGGCGUUCCGAGAGUACCCGAAGAAAAAGCAUCGGCUAACUCCGUGCCAGCAGCCGCGGUAAUACGGAGGAUGCGAGCGUUAUCCGGAUUUAUUGGGUUUAAAGGGUGCGUAGGCGGGACGGUAAGUCAGCGGUAAAAAUGCGGAGCUCAACUCCGUCGGGCCGUUGAAACUGUCGGU
rnacentral:rRNA from 1 species